UACGGGGGGAGCAAGCGUUGUUCGGAUUUACUGGGCGUAAAGGGCGCGUAGGCGGCCAGUGCAAGUCAGUUGUGAAAUCUCCGAGCUUAACUCGGAAAGGUCAACUGAUACUGCUCGGCUAGAGUGCGGAAGGGGCAACUGGAAUUCUUGGUGUAGCGGUGAAAUGCGUAGAUAUCAAGAGGAACACCUGCGGCGAAGGCGGGUUGCUGGGCCGACACUGACGCUGAGGAGCGAAAGCGUGGGGAGCGAACAGG
rnacentral:rRNA from 1 species